GAUGAAGAACGUAGCGAAAUGCGAUAAGUAAUGUGAAUUGCAGAAUUCAGUGAAUCAUCGAAUCUUUGAACGCACAUUGCGCCCGCCAGUAUUCUGGCGGGCAUGCCUGUCUGAGCGUCAUUUCAACCCUCAUGCCCCUAGGGCGUGGUGUUGGGGAUCGGCCAAAGCCCGCGAGGGACGGCCGGCCCCUAAAUCUAGUGGCGGACCCGUCGUGGCCUCCUCUGCGAAGUAGUGAUAUUCCGCAUCGGAGAGCGAUGAGCCCCUGCCGUUGAACCCCCAACUUUCCAAGGUUGACCUCAGAUCAGGUAGGAAUACCCGCUGAACUUAAGCAUAUCAAUAAGCGGAGGA
rnacentral:misc_RNA from 1 species